ACAACCCGCCGAAAGGCGGGCUAAACCCGCGUACAUGCCACCGGGGCAUCCCGGAGGCAGGAAAGGCUUCGGCCGGACGGGGAUGGGCAUGCGGCGCAUUAGGCAGUAGGCGGGGUAACGGCCCACCUAACCGACGAUGCGUAGGGGUUCUGAGAGGAAGGUCCCCACACUGGUACUGAGACACGGACCAGACUCCUACGGGAGGCAGCAGUGAGGAAUAUUGGUCAAUGGUCGGGAGACUGAACUAGCCAAGCCGCGUGAGGGAUGAAGGUACAGAGUAUCGUAAACCUCUUUUGUCAGGGAACAAAGGCGGGGACGUGUCCCCGGAUGAGUGUACCUGAAGAAAAAGCAUCGGCUAACUCCGUGCCAGCAGCCGCGGUAAUACGGAGGAUGCGAGCGUUAUCCGGAUUUAUUGGGUUUAAAGGGUGCGCAGGCGGUCUGUUAAGUCAGCGGUCAAAGCCCGGGGCUCAACCCCGGCCCGCCGUUGAAACUGGCAGUCUCGAGUUGGAGAGAAGUAUGCGGAAUGCGCGGUGUAGCGGUGAAAUGCAUAGAUAUCGCGCAGAACUCCGAUUGCGAAGGCAGCGUGCCGGCUCCACACUGACGCUGAGGCACGAAAGCGUGGGUAUCGAACAGGAUUAGAUACCCUGGUAGUCCACGCAGUAAACGAUGAAUACUGGCUGUCCGGGGGGGAUUGACCCCUGGGUG
rnacentral:rRNA from 1 species